CCAGGAUCGUUGGUCGUCAGUCGAUCGACAGACUGCUUCUGAUUCUACAAGAACCAUGAAAGUCUUCAUUAUCGCAGUACUAGCUCUGGUGGCUUACACGGCUUCGGGAACUACCAGGCCAAGGAUAAUUAUUGACACUGACUGGAGCAAUUUUCUAGUGUGUAACAGAUGGACCCAAUUCUAUGAUCGUGACAACCCGUCCGGCUAUGGUGAUGAGGAACCAUUGGGAAGUCUUCGAAGGGCAAGGCCCUAUGAUAAUAUCUGUGCAAGACCAGCUACCUUGGAAUAUGAAACCGUAUCUACAAAAGCGUGUAUCAACACAGGGGAAGUGAUUACAGCAUCACCGACCACCGGUUUUACAUGCGUUAAUUCUCGUCAACCUGAUCAAAGGUGUAACGAUUACAAAGUUCGAUACUGCUGUCUAGAUGCCCAAGUCACAUGUCCGAACGGAUAUGAAUGGACCUACUUCUACGACCGUGACAACCCCUCAGGCACAGGUGAUUCGGAACUAUUAAAGCAGCUACGAGAUGAAAAUCCAAAUGAGAUUUGUGAAAAACCAAUCGCCAUAGAUGUCCGUCGUCGAAGCAAUGGCCGCGACUUUAGAACAUGCGGCGAGAACGUCACUGUCUCUCCAUCGUUCGGAUUUCUCUGCUUAGAUCGAAACCAGUAUGAUCACUAUUGUGAAGAUUACAAAGUCCGAUUCUGUUGUCCUUGUGAUAAAUAAAUAUCUAAAUGGAUAACAUGAAAGAAUAAAAAAUAUUGCACAA